AGCAAUAGGCAAGGCCAGAUGGAUCCUCCUGGGACUGGAGACACACUGGCACAAAGGUUUUGACCACACAGAACUCAAAUGCUUUCUGAUGACUGGUCUGAACUUUUCACAGCAUAACUCUCAGGUCCCAGCACAGCAGACGUGUCACUGACCCACGGUGCCUUCCGACAUCAGCCUUCUGUCUGCAGCUGACUCAGUUUUCUGUAUAAAUCACUCUAUCAGGUAACUCAGCUGCUCAGCUUGAUCUUCACACUAGGUCCUCAUACAGAUGGCAGAGUCUGUGGCAGGCAAAAAGGUCUUCCUCAUUAAUUACUUUACUCUUGCCCUGUACUGCAGACAUCUCUAUGUACAAACCAGUGCUAACACCUGGCACCUGAGCUGCUGUCCCAGGGACCUCUGAGGACUUCGUCAAGAAGAUAGAAAUGCUGAGAUACCACACACAGCUGGAAAGACUUGUGUAAAACAUCUCAGCUGAAAACCCUCAAGUGGCCCAGGUUGGCUGUUGUCAUGCUCUGAAUCAACAAUCCUUGACACCUGCUGACUCAAAUGUUUCCACCAAAUCUCGCUUGCAUUUGCAUUAGUAAGCUGCAGCUAAUGUUUUCUUUCAAUUUUUUCCCUAGGAAGUUUUCUAGCAAACAGAAGCCCUAUCAAUAAGGAGGAACUUUUACAUAAUGAAAAUUAAAGAGUUUUUCCCCCCUUCCCUUUUCACUUGAUUUAUAAUGGUUACUUUAGAAAUACUCAAUCUUCAUAUGAGACCAAAAGCAAACUCCAUCCCUGAAUAAACAAAUUUAUAUUCAUAUGUAUGUACAUCCCUAUGUACAUAUAUAUUCCUGAACACAUAAAAAACCAAGUGCAUGGCAUUGCUUGGAGUUAUGUGGACAGUUUUGGAUGCCUAUUUUAUUUAUUGUACUUCUAUUUGAGAGGAAAAUUGGAUUUGGGCCCAUAUAUCUCUGAGGAUGCAUUAUUCGACUUUUAAUCUACAUCAGACUGUAACAAAGCACAUCGCAUAUCACAGCUUCUGCUACCUCUGAUACAAAUUCUGUAUUUCAAGAAUAUUUAUGCAUACAGGAUUAUUUAGCUUGGUGGCAGAGGUGUUGCAUUCUGCACUUUUUUUCUGAAGAGUAUUACUGGGUUUACUGUUUGAAUUGACUGUUCUCAUCAAUUCCAUUCUAUGGAAUGGGCGGAUAUACAUAUUGACUGGUGAAUAAUGACAGUCCCCAGUAAACAAAGGGGUUAACUUUGCAUCUCUUUUCCUCUGCUGGGGAAAAGCUUCCAGGGAUGGAAAGAAUGGAGGGUCCUUCUCCACUAUUGAGGAAGGGAUGAGACCCAGCAAGGAGUGGAUCCCAGGUGGUGUGCUCCUGACAGUUGCUAGUUUCUGCUAUGAAACAAAUGAGAGGAAGGACAUUAAAAUCUGCUUUGCAUGAUUGAAUAUGUAUUUAUAUAUCUGCACUGGACCAGUCCGAUUUCAACAAGGACUUGUCUAAAACUUCUCUAUUCAACCAUGUUAUUUUUUCCACUUGUCUCCCUAAACCCAGCUCCUGUAAGUACUUUGACCCAUCCUGGACUUUAAAAGGAAGAUCAGCAGUGCUGAUCUCUCUCAAAUUCCCCUGAGGGCAGCUUUUUCUCCCCUGUGCCCUAGACAGUCCUGUCAGCUGCUGUGCUCCAGUGACAGGAUGGCUGCAUUUCACAGCAAACGAGAUGCUUUAUUAGCGUGUGGCUGUAAAAUACUUUGAAACUCUAGUAGAUGAAUAAUGUUGUAUCAUAAAUAUAAAAUGAA